rnacentral:rRNA from 1 species
UACGUAGGGUGCAAGCGUUGUCCGGAAUUAUUGGGCGUAAAGAGCUCGUAGGCGGUCUGUCGCGUCUGCUGUGAAAACUCAGGGCUUAACCCUGAGCUUGCAGUGGGUACGGGCAGACUAGAGUGCGGUAGGGGAGACUGGAAUUCCUGGUGUAGCGGUGAAAUGCGCAGAUAUCAGGAGGAACACCGGUGGGCGAAAGGCGGGUCUCUGGGC